rnacentral:rRNA from 1 species
UACGGAGGGUCCAAGCGUUAUCCGGAAUCAUUGGGUUUAAAGGGUCCGUAGGCGGUUUUGUAAGUCAGUGGUGAAAGCCCAUCGCUCAACGGUGGAACGGCCAUUGAUACUGCAAGACUUGAAUUAUUGGGAAGCAACUAGAAUAUGUAGUGUAGCGGUGAAAUGCUUAGAGAUUACAUGGAAUACCAAUUGCGAAGGCAGGUUGCUACCAAUACAUUGAUGCUGAUGGACGAAAGCGUGGGGAGCGAACAGG